rnacentral:misc_RNA from 1 species
GAUGAAGAACGUAGCGAAAUGCGAUAAGUAAUGUGAAUUGCAGAAUUCAGUGAAUCAUCGAAUCUUUGAACGCACAUUGCGCCCGCCAGUAUUCUGGCGGGCAUGCCUGUUCGAGCGUCAUUUCAACCAUCAAGCCCCCGGCUUGUGUUGGGGACCUGCGGCUGCCGCAGGCCCUGAAAACCAGUGGCGGGCUCGCUAGUCACUCCGAGCGUAGUAAUACAUCUCGCUCAGGGCGUGCUGCGGGUUCCGGCCGUUAAAAAGCCUUAUUUACCCAAGGUUGACCUCGGAUCAGGUAGGUAGACCCGCUGAACUUAAGCAUAUCAAUAAGCGGAGGA